GAACCUUUUUCAGUGCACAUUAAGUAUCUCCACUGUAGUUUUGUUACUUUUAAGCUUAAUGUCUAUGAUCAAAGCUGAUAAUUGCAUGAUACUGCAGAUGCUGAACUUCGCACCUCCAUCAUCAGGAUUGAUUCCUUGGAAGCCUGUGUUUUCUUAAUCUGGUCUUCCUCUUACAGUUCUGGAGUAUCUUCUACUUUAGCUGCUUAAGUUUUUUUAUGGCAGGCGAUGGCACAAGUUGGUGGUUUGGUCAUGCUGCAACUAGAAGUUGGAGGCUCUCGUGAGAAUUUAUUCUUUGCUGGAACUGACAAGGUGAGAUUCUGGAAACCAGUGAUUGCCGGCGACACCGUAGUUAUGAGAAUGACACUUAUCCAGCUGCAGAAACGCUUUGGAAUAGCAAAGAUGGAGGGGAAAGCUUAUGUUCGAGGUGUGGUAGUUUGCGAUGGUGAGUUUUUGAUGGCUACUGAUAGUGAAUAAUCUCUGCUAGUUUUACUAUUUGCUGCCAGUCACCAGUCGAUUUUUCUUGGUUUCUUUUUUCCACAGAAAUCUCAUCAAUUCUUUCUAUGAUUUUCAUCCGAAAUUGGUCAAAAUCUAUCCAUGGCAGUUACAAGCAUGUGAUCCCUCUGUUUUCUGUGGUUGUUUGGGCACUUGAAAAGCCUUCAAGUUCUUUUUCAAGGGCCCCUACUUCGAAGUGAUCUGAGAAGGGAACGAAAUAGAAAAGAGAGUGAUGAGAUAUAAGCAUGGAUUUUAUUAUGUCAGUUUCAUACUUCUGUGAGUUGUGCUCGGAGAAAUUAGACUCUAUCGGCAGGAGAAAUUAGAUCUGUAUCUACAUUAAUG